rnacentral:rRNA from 1 species
UACGUAGGGGGCAAGCGUUGUCCGGAAUCAUUGGGCGUAAAGAGCGUGUAGGCGGCCCGGUAAGUCCGCUGUGAAAUCUCGGGGCUUAACUCCGAAACUGCAUUUGAUACUGCGGUGCUUGAGGACUGGAGAGGAGACUGGAAUUUACGGUGUAGCAGUGAAAUGCGUAGAGAUCGUAAGGAAGACCAGUGGCGAAGGCGGGUCUCUGGACAGUUCCUGACACUGAGGCACGAAGGCCAGGGGAGCAAACGGG